GACGAACGCUGGCGGCGUGCUUAAUACAUGCAAGUAGAACGCAGUUGCGAACGGGUGAGUAACGCGUAGGUAACCUGCCUCAUAGCGGGGGAUAACUAUUGGAAACGAUAGCUAAUACCGCAUACUGUGAGAUGUACCUGCGUUGUAUUAGCUAGUUGGUGAGGUAAAGGCUCACCAAGGCGGCGAUCCAUAGCCGACCGGAGAGGGUGAGCGGCCACACUUGGACUGAGACACGCCCCAGACGCCUACGGGUAGGAGCAGUAGGGAAACUGCGGGAAUGGGCGGAAGUCUGAGCGCGCAACGCCGAGUGAGUGAAGAGGGUUUUCGGGUCGGAAAGCUCUGUUGUUGGGGAAGCGGUAGCUAACCAGAAAGGGACGGCUAACUACGUGCCAGCAGCCGCGGUAAUAC
rnacentral:rRNA from 1 species